UGUCAUUUUCUCUGAAAAUUAUGCGUCUUCUCCAUGGUGCUUAGAUGAACUUGUAAAGAUUAUGGAAUGCAGUGAAACUCGCAAGCUCAUGGUUCUACCCAUAUUUUAUCGUGUAAAUCCAUCGGAUUUAUUGAAUCAGACUGGAAUUGAAAGGUUACCCAAAGAUGAGAAACUGCCAAAGUGGAAGGAUGCCUUGAACCAGGCAGCAAAACUAUCCGGUUGGAAUUUGCCUCCUACCAGGUAAUGAAAUGGAAAACCUGUGCUUUUUGCUUUGAAAUAAAAUUAGGUCUGUCUUUCUCUGUAGUUCGAACAACUGCUCAUAGUCUACAUUAUAUUUUCUAAUUUCUAGGCCUUUAUCUUCUGCUUUACUCACAUAUUUGACAGGCCAGAGUCUGAAAUUGUUGGUGAAAUUGUCGGAUUUAUUGUGAAAAAAUUGAAACAAGUCCCUUUAAGUAAGAUAGAGGGCCUUGUGGGAAUGGAUUCAAGCAUUGAGGAAAUUAAAGCAUUUUUGUCCUCGGAGUUGGUAGAUGUCCUCAUUUUAGGAAUUUGGGGAAUGGGCGGAAUUGGUAAAACAACUCUUGCUGAAGCUGUUUUCAACCAAAUUGCAUGUCAAUUUGAAGGAUGUUGCUUUCUAGCAAAUGUUAGGGAAAAAUCUGAAAAAAGUGGUGGAUUAACCUGUUUACAAGAGGAGCUUCUUUCUAAAACAUUAGAGGAAAAAGAUCUCAAGGUUGACACACCUAAUAUUGGAUACUCUUUUUUAAUUAAUCGAAUGCUCAGCAGUAAGAAGGUUUUAAUUGUUGUUGAUGAUGCUAGUAGUUCCGAUCAAGUAGAGUUAUUAGUUGGAAAUCGUCAAUGGUUUGGUCCAGGAAGUAGAAUUAUCAUAACAAGCAGAGAUAAACAAGUGCUUAGAAAAAGUGUUGAUCAUAUGUACGAAGUUAAGAAAUUAGAGCAUCAUGAAGCUCUGCAACUUUUUAGUCAGAAUGCCUUCAAGAUGCAGAAUCCUACAGAAGAUUACCAGGCUUUAUCAUAUUCAGUUAUAGAAUAUGCUAAGGGUAUUCCUUUGGCUGUUAAAGUAUUGGGUUCCUUUUUGUUUGCCAAGAGCAAAAGCGAAUGGGAUAGUGCAUUGUGUAAACUCAAAAAAGCUCCUCAUAAAGAUAUAAAAAAUGUGCUUAAAAUUAGUUAUGAUGAGCUUGAUGGGGAAGAGAAGGAUAUCUUUCUUCAUAUUGCAUGUUUCUUUAGUGGUGAGAGUCUGGGUAUGGUAACACAAAUACUAGAUGGAUGUGGCUUCUCAACUGAAAUUGGAUUACGUGUUCUCAUUGAUAAAUCUCUCAUUUCUAUUCCAAAUAAUACGAUAGCAAUGCAUGAUUUACUGCAAGAAAUGGGCAAGGAAAUUGUUCGCCAAGAAUUUAAAGAGCCAGGCCGACGUAGUAGAUUAUGGAAUCAUGAAGAAAUCCUUCAUGUAUUGAAAAAGAAAACAGGAACUGAAGCAAUUGAAGGCAUGUUCCUUGAUAUGUCUAAAAUAAGCAAGAUGCACUUGAGUUCGAAUGCAUUUGAGAGAAUGCAUAAUCUACAAUUUCUCAAAUUUUACAAGUCUGAUUGCUGUCGUGAUUUUGGAGAAGAUAGUAAAGUGCGACUUUCUCAAGGCCUAGAAUCUCUUCCUGAUGAGCUAAGGUAUCUUUAUUGGCACGGAUACCCAUUGGAAUCUUUGCCUGCUAAUUUCCACCUAAUGAACCUCAUUGUUCUUUCGUUGCCUCAUGGCAAAGUAAGAACACUUUGGAAGGGAAACAAGGAUCCUACAAAGUUAAGAGAAAUUGAUCUUAGUUUCUCCCAAGGCUUAAUCGAUAUUCCUGACCUAUCAAGGGCCAGUAAUCUUACUUGCAUGAAGCUAUCUGGCUGCAACAACAUUAAAAGUUUGCCAAGUACCAUUGGUUUGAGAUCUCUUAGAACUCUUGAUGUCAACAACUGCUCAAAACUCAAAAUAUUUCCAGAGAUAUCGAGGAACAUAAGAUUCCUGUAUUUAAAUGGGACUGCAAUCAAAGAAGUACCCUCAUCAAUUGCAUACCUCAUAAGACUGCAAAUACUGGAAAUGAAUUUUUGCACUGAGCUUGAGAUUCUUCCAAGCAGCAUUUGCAAGUUAAAGUCCCUUGAAAUCCUUAGUCUACAUGGUUGCUUGAAUCUGAAGAAUUUCCCAGAAAUCUCUGAGGUUAUGGAUCAAUUGAAGGUGCUUAUCUUAAAUGCAACUGGCAUUAAAGAGCUCCCAUCCUCUAUUGAGCAUCUAAAAGGGCUUUCUUCAAUAUAUUUGGAAAACUGCAAAAACCUCACUUAUCUUCCAGAGAGUUUCUGUAAUUUGAAAGCUCUUUAUUGGCUUUUUCUUGCUUCUUGCCCACAACUUGAAAAGUUGCCAAAAAAGUUAUCGAAUUUAACAAUAUUAGAAGACCUCACAGCAGGUGGAUGUAAUCUGUUGAAAUUACCUUCUCAUCUAAAUCAUUUGUCCUGUAUAUCGAAGCUGGAUCUAAGUGGAAACAGUUUUGAGAAACUGCCUGCAAGUAUCAAAAAACUUCCUCAUCUGCAAUGGCUCAACAUAAGUUCCUGCAAGAGGCUUCAAUCUGUAAUGGAGCUUCCACUGUCUCUAACAGAUUUAGAUGCACAUGACUGUGGAUCCUUGGAAGAUAUCUCUGGCCUUAAACAACUUUUUCAAUUGAAAUGUGUGGAAAAAUUCUAUCAGAAAAGAUUCGUAUUUACUUGUUGCUUCAAAGUGGAGGAAAAUGUUUGGAGUGAUUUCCUAGCAGAUGCACAGUUGUGGAUUCAGAAAGUGUCAAUGAGAGUGAAUGACGAGGAAUCUUUUAGCAUCUGGUAUCCUGGAAGUAAAAUUCCUGAGUGGUUCACAAAUCAAAGUGAGGGAAGUUCAAUCAUGAUCCAGUUGCCUCCACAUUCACGCAAGUAUGUUCUGUUGGGGUUUGUUCUAUGCGUUGUUCUUGCAUUCCAAGCUAAUUUUGAAUAUCAUAACAGUUUCUUCCACGUUCUUUGUGUCUACCAUUUCAAAAAUAAUUGUGGAGACUGCAGUGAUCUCCAAGAACUUUAUAGCAGUAGAUCUCAUGUAUCCGGUAAUGCUAAAAACAUCUGGUCAGAGCAUGUGCUACUGUUUUUUGAUCCCAAUUUCUCUGCUGAAAGAGCCAGUGAAUUUCGCUAUGAUGAAGCCUCAUUUGAAUUCCACUUGCAAAACAACGACAGCAAUGGUAGGCAGAGUUGCAAGGUUAAAAACUGUGCAGUCUUUCCACUAUAUGACCAAGAAGAGAAAUACAGCAACAUGGAAGAAGAAACUUGUAAAAGAAAGAGAUCCUGGGAUGGAAGUGGGAGAGAGGACUAUCCUAAAAGGAUGAUGAUGCAGGAUCAUUUUAGGAAGAAAUUUAGGAAGUAGUGUUUUAUAUUAUCUAGGAAGUUUGAGCUUGUUUAGUAUUCCUAAUUAGUAUUUGAUUAGUGUUUUCUUAUUCUGGGAUUCCUAAUCCCAUGUGUGACAGGACUAGUUGACAUAUUAUAUAAAUGCCUAUGUCAUCUAGGUAUUACAUUAGAAGAGACAUUUUCUAUGAUUAACAAUUAAUUUGUGAAUUAAUAAAAGUUGAGAAUUUAUUUCUCAUCACUUUCUAAGAAUUUGUUUCUCUUAUUCUAUUAGUGCACAAAUGGUGUAGCAUUUUGUGCACUGUGGUUUUGCUGUCUGUUAGCAAUAGGAUGCCUUUUCUGCAGAACUCAUGUUUGUAUGAGAAAUCUGUGAUCAACUCAACACUUUUAUUUUGUUCAUGCAGAUAUGUGUCAUUUGACUUUCAUCAUAUUUGUGGCAACUCAAACUUUGAUAACCUACAGAUUCUGUAUGAUCAAAUCUCAGAGGAAUUCCAAAAACAAGGGUAAUAAAACAAAUCGAUGAUAUCAUGCAUGAAUUCUUAUUAAUAAAUAUUCCAUGAUCCAGCAUGCUAGCUUUCCAUAAUAUUGCUUUUUAAUCAUUUCAUUUCCAGCUGAGCAGAUACUUCAUCAUAGACGCGGAAGAAAAAAUAUUAGAGGAGCAGAAAGGGAUAAUUAGAUCUAAUUGCAUUGAUUGCCUUGAUCGAACAAAUGUUACCCAGGUUUGCAUUGAAGUAUUCUGCAUGGUUCUUUUUCUUUUAUUCUAGGGAUGAUUCUAGGAAUACUUUAUAAACUAUUUUUGUUGCCUGAAAUAGUUUACUUGACUGGCUAAGCGGUAUUGUAUUACCCAAGCUACUUACAUCUUACUUUUCAACAGAGUUAUCUAGCUCAGAAGUCUUUGACUGCACAAAUGCAAAGAAUAGGAGUACUUGCUUCUAAUGAGUGCAUUUCUAUGUUCAGUGAGGAUUAUGGAAAGUUCAGAAGAUGUAUGUAACUUCUAUCUUAUUAAUGCAAUAUUCCAUGAUGAUUUGCAAUGCCUGCGUAAUCUUUGUUUCAUCAUCAGUGUGGGCCGAGCAAGGUGAUGAGAUAAGCCUUGAAUACACUGGAACUUAUGCCCUGAAAGGAGACCUGGUUAGGUAAAGUGAAACUAAAAUCUAUGAUUUGUUGGUUAAUUCAUAUCCCAUUUGUAAUACUGACACAUUUCAGAUAUACCAUUAAAUCUGCAGAUAUGGAAGACAGACUUUACGCGGAAUAAUCAAAGAUGGUAUGAGUGCUCUUUCAAGAUAUUAUUUGAAUAAUUUUCAAGAUGGAGUUCGACAGGACGCAUUGGAUCUUAUAAGUGGCCACUAUACUGUGAACAGAAAUGGUCCAUCACCAUUCCAGCUUAAUGGAUUCGAAUCGCUCUCUGUAUGCAAUAUCUUUCUGUUGAUAAUUAAGUAUACAUGGCAUGACCUCGCUGUAAUUCCUGUCUGUAGUACCAAUAUGCAUGCACUGAGGCUAUCUUUAUCAAGUUGGCAGUAGCUUAGAUGAAUUUUUUGCCUAAGUAAAAUAAUGGCAAUAUAUUAACUAUUUAAGGGAAAAAUACGCUUUUGAAAAGAAAUUCUGAAUCACAACAUGAACUCAUAUCUGAUUCACAAAAUGAAAUAUUGCAGUAUCUCCCAGUGGCAUCGGCUUUGGUUAUCGGAGGUUUGACACUUACUUCCUUCACCCUUCAACAAGCGGGGCGAAAUGUACAAUGUUAUUUGUCUACUGUGCUGUGGGCUGGAGUGACUACUGGAGUAAUAGCUGUCGUCAAAGUUAAUGGAAGGCAGUUCUGUUCUAGGCCUCGCUUGUGUGGCCUUCUGUAAUUUAUUCUCAAGUAUUUUAGAUUGCAUCUAUGAAACUUGUACCCAGUUUACCUUGUAAUUUAUUUACAAGAAAUUCCAUAAUUUGAGUAAUGCAGUAAAACGCUGGUUUAAUUACU
rnacentral:misc_RNA from 1 species